rnacentral:rRNA from 1 species
UACGGAGGGGCUAGCGUUGUUCGGAAUUACUGGGCGUAAAGCGUACGUAGGCGGCUUUGUAAGUUAGAGGUGAAAGCCCGGGGCUCAACUCCGGAAUUGCCUUUAAGACUGCAUCGCUUGAAUCAUGGAGAGGUGAGUGGAAUUCCGAGUGUAGAGGUGAAAUUCGUAGAUAUUCGGAAGAACACCCGUGGCGAAGGCGGCUCUCGUGGG